UCAUCUACAAGAUAGUUUUAGUGUGACUAGCUAUAUAUUGGACCAUCCGGUUUGAAUAUUUUUCAAAUUUUUAAUAUAUCUAUUUUGAUCUUGCUAAUGAUUUAGAGUCACAGGAAUUGCAUAAACACAUGUUAGUAAGUAAACGUGCAAGCCAACAUGACUAUUGUUAUGGAAAUAACCUGCCAACUGGAGCAACUCUUUUUUUUAAGAUGCAUUCAGAUCGACUCAAUAAAAUCGCAUC
rnacentral:lncRNA from 1 species